rnacentral:rRNA from 1 species
AUUGAACGCUGGCGGCAGGCCUAGCACAUGCAAGUCGAGCGGAUGAAGGGAGCUUGCUCCUGGAUUCAGCGGCGGACGGGUGAGUAAUGCCUAGGAAUCUGCCUGGUAGUGGGGGAUAACGUCCGGAAACGGGCGCUAAUACCGCAUACGUCCUGAGGGAGAAAGUGGGGGAUCUUCGGACCUCACGCUAUCAGAUGAGCCUAGGUCGGAUUAGCUAGUUGGUGGGGUAAAGGCCUACCAAGGCGACGAUCCGUAACUGGUCUGAGAGGAUGAUCAGUCACACUGGAACUGAGACACGGUCCAGACUCCUACGGGAGGCAGCAGUGGGGAAUAUUGGACAAUGGGCGAAAGCCUGAUCCAGCCAUGCCGCGUGUGUGAAGAAGGUCUUCGGAUUGUAAAGCACUUUAAGUUGGGAGGAAGGGCAGUAAGUUAAUACCUGGCUGUUUUGACGUUACCAACAGAAUAAGCACCGGCUAACUUCGU